AACGAACGCUGGCGGCAGGCCUAACACAUGCAAGUCGAGCGCCCGGAUUUAUCCGGGAGCGGCGCACGGGUGAGUAACGCGUGGGAACAUGCCCUGAAGUACGGAACAACCUGGGGAAACCUUGGCUAAUACCGUAUACGCCCUGAGGGGGAAAGAUUUAUCGCUUUGGGAUUGGCCCGCGUUGGAUUGGCUGGUUGGUGUGGUAACGGCGCACCAAGGCGACGAUCCAUAACUGUGCUGAGAGGAUGACCAGUCACACUGGGACUGAGACACGGCCCAGACUCCUACGGGAGGCAGCAGUGGGGAAUAUUGGACAAUGGGCGAAAGCCUGAUCCAGCCAUGCCGCGUGAGUGAAGAAGGCCUUCUGGUUGUAAAGCUCUUUCAGCGGGGACGAUGAUGACGGUACCCGCAGAAGAAGCCCCGGCUAACUUCGUGCCAGCCGCCGCCGUAA
rnacentral:rRNA from 1 species